UACCAGCACCCCGAGUGGUCGGGACGAUUAUUGGGCCUAAAGCAUCCGUAGCCGGCCUUACAAGUCCCCCGUUAAAUCCAACUGCUUAACAGAUGGGCUGCGGAGGAUACUAUGGAGCUAGGAGGCGGGAGAGGCAAGCGGUACUUAGUGGGUAGGGGUAAAAUCCGUUGAUCCAUUGAAGACCACCAGUGGCGAAGGCGGCUUGCCAGAACGCACUCGACGGUGAGGGAUGAAAGCUGGGGGAGCAAACCGG
rnacentral:rRNA from 1 species